ensembl:lncRNA
AUCUUGUGCUGGAGAUCCCUUCUUACUUGAGGCAUUCUGAAGCAGCCACUGUGUUCUAGGCUUUAAUCAUCAGCAUCUGAAGAAAUGAGAACAGGGGUGCCACAUCUGCAUAUGUGCUGUUUUCCUAGUAUUACCCUUUAACUCAGCAAGGCCUUGGAUACCUUGGAAACUCAAUUUUUUUCCCACUUCUGACUUAAAAACAUGUGUAAAAUACUUAUUAUAUGGGAACAGUGAUGUCAGCUGAGCAGUGUCACUUGCCUGGCUUAUUUCAAAGUGGAAUUUUAUGGAAUUUGUCAUAUGGUUUUGCUGAGUUACAAACCUACACAGAACUCCUGAAAUAAACCAUUGUGUUAGCCAAGUUCGGUGGAUACAGAAGCAUAACAAAAUGAGUACUUUCUUUGCUACAUAAUAUCCAGCCCUUCACACUGUAGACAGACAUUAAGACAGAGGGGAAUUUGUGGGCUGGGACUCCUGGGUUCUGGACCACUUGAAAAGUUACAGUUCCCUGAUGCUUCUCCCACUUCUAUAGCAGCAGUUGCUGUAGAAGUGGUGCAGAACAGGCAAUUUGCUAUUGGGACGUCACAGUUCACAGCACCAUGUGUUAACUUCAACAGGCAUUGAUUUCAAUUUAUGUUAACGUGCUGGGCUGCAAGCUGCAGCAGGAGGGGUCUCUGGUUCAUGACUCCUGUCAGAUUCAGAGAGCUGAGGUUAUCACCUCAGCAGUAACCUCUUUAGCCACCAGAGCUGAAUCCAAUUCAAUCAUGAAUUGGUGUCCUUAAGUAAUUCUCCUUCAUAAAGGCCCAAUGCAGUUAUACUGAUGUCAAUAAAAAAAAAAGUCCCAGAUGAGAUUUUGAUUGUUUCCUUAAUAUGAAUUUAAAAAGCAGUUAAAAAGCUAAAACCAAAAUGACUCCAUUGAGGAAUGGAUUGGACAUUAACAUAUCACAUUCAUAUUUCAAAAACUUGUGUUAACAAUUUAACCCUCACAGCUCAUUGAGAGGAAAAUAGUUACCACUCCAAAAGACUGACCUACCUAAGAUUACAUUUUUAGUGAGAAAAUUCAUGCCUAAGGGGAAAAAAAAAAGUGUUAAUAUCCAAAUAGGCCUCUCCACUCAACAUAUGCUUAAUCUUGUGUAUGUCAGAGCUGUGGAGAGGCAUUCAAGCUAUGAAGGAGGAUAUAAAGUUUUGGUGAAAACUAAAGGCUGUUGUAGAUAAGCUGUCAUAUAACAAAAUGUUGAUGUUAUUGUACUUUCUAGUACAGACGUGUAAAAACAUGUUGGGAGGGAAAAGUGUUGCUCCAGAAAAUGUCUUUCACUUUGGUCUUUGGGUGUCCUCACAUCCUCCUGGCCUCUUCAGCAAACAAGUGAUGGUAAAGCAAGUUAACUGCUGCCUUAUGUCUCUGCGCCUGUUUGUCCAUCUUGAGCUUCACCUCAGCUCAUGGGGAUAUUUGCCCUGGUAAUAAUUAGGGAAUAAAACCUCUGGUAGCAAGAUCUUAUAGGAGGAAGGAGUGGGCAACCCAAUUGUCAUGCAAUGGAUUCACUUGGGUUUUAUAUAGUGUAGCUGGAUGUUUCUGAGAAAGCAAAAUUUCUCAAGUUCAAAUUAGGGCAUAUUUAAUCUUCUCUGGAUGUAACAGCAAAACAAACUGGCAUACUUUGAAAGAGAAAUCUGUGGAAGUAGAUCAGCACACAGGCCUGGAGUGAAUCGCCAUUGAAGCUGUGCCCUGAGUUCCACCAAGGUGACCAGGAGUGCUGAGUGUGCUAUUGGAAAUGCACGGAGCCCUGAAGGACAGGCUGAGGCAAACUAAGCUACCAGUGGUUACAUUAAGAAGAGGAGCAUCUCGUGUAAAACAGCCUCUGCUGGGUCCAUCUCCAGUGUGAUUCCAAGUUCAUCAGUGGUCCUAUUUGGCUCUGAGAGAGCUGGAGAUAGGAGGAAGGUUUUGCUAGUCUUAAAUUCCUCAAAGUCAGAAGAAACAGCAAUAUCAGAUGAAGAAGUUAGAUUAAGCAGCAUGUAACAAAAAGGAUUCUGUGCUUACAGGACCCUGAAACCCCUCCACAAGACCACUGUGGGGUCCCCAUCCAUCGUGGGGCAGGGCUUAAGUGGCAGCUGCAGCUGUGAUAUGGCUCAGCUAAGGCCUCAGUCACCAGCCUCAAGGUGUAGGGCACUGGAACUGAAGUGAAGAGUCAGAGCAUUGAGCCCAGGCCUACAUGCUGCUUGGAAGGGAGGAACACCCCCUGCUGCAGAAGGUCCUGGCAUCCCCUGUGAUAGCUGUAUGGUGGUGGCUCCCACCUUGGCCUCUGCUCUGAUCACACAAGCAGGGCCCAAGGCUUCAUAGUACAGAGAGGGGCAGGGUGCAUAAUGUCUCAGUGAAACCUUCCCCAGAGACAGCACAGCCUUAUGUGGAGAGGAACAGAAGCCAUUUGUAAUCUGAGGUCACUGGUCUCCAGAUAAGAGAUGGCAUUGGACAUUAAGGCUGAGACAGGAUGCUGAACAAUGUUUUUAAUGGGUUAGAGCCAGCUGUAGCAAACAACAUAAAGGAUUUAUCCAGCUGCUGAAGCUGUACAUGGCAGGCACCUUAGCAGGAAGGAGGGGAAAAAAUGAAAGAGGUUGGGGAAAGCAAGCAACCAGGAAGAAACCUCUGGAAGAUUCGGGCACACAGCCGGCUGCACUCAUGCUUUAUGUCACUGCAGAGCAUUAAAAGAGCACUUAAAAAGGUAAUUAGCACCUUUUCAUUGGACCAGAAAUCAGAGGUGUAAUUUACCAGAAGUCAGUGAACAAUGUAAGAGAUCUAAUUUAAUCACACUGCAUAGCUUAUCCGGGAUGAAAAAUGAGGAGCCUGGCUUGACUGAGUGGGUACGCCUCCAGGAAAGCCAUCUCUGCUCCCCUGCAGGACAGUGCUGCUGCUCCUAGAACAGUGCUUGGCAAAGCACAGCACAGGGUGCUUCUGCCUUUUGAAUCUUGCUGCGUAGUUUUCAUUUUUCCAUAGCAGAGGUUCCAUGAUACACAGAAUUAAAUGCCCAUCUAGAAGAGAUGACAGUCAAAAUUCUGCAUCAUAAUACAAAUAGUAUCUUUCAGUGUGUCUGUUCAGGUGCUCCCAAAUUCGGGAAGAUGAGAGGAGUCUGGGGCUUUCACUGUGCCCUGCACAGAUAAAGAUGAAGAGAGCUCUUCCAGUAUUUGGAUUUCAGACUGUCCUGUCUUUCCUUUAGAGUUUGGAAUGAGUGAUUCAGCUUAUUUCUAUUCUUCUCAUCAAAUGAGGAGUUCAAAAGAU